AAUGCAAUUUGAUCUUAGUAGGAGUUAAUUAAUUAAUUGGCAAUAUAUAUACUAUAUUUUGUUUAUAUAUAUUGAUCUGUUGCUGCAGUUGAAGCACACUUCAAAGAGGGAUCANNNNNNNNCACAUAAUUAUCAGAUGCAUUUCCUGGAGAGGGACAUUAAUUCAAUAGACGUCUAAAUUAGUGCACACAAACGUUCAUUGCUCUUGACUGGCCGUAACUUUCUUUGGAAAUUACUUUAAUAAGACUACCUUAAUUAAUUUUAUGUUUGCUGAAAUUGCAUGAUCAAUUUAGGCACAUAUAUGUUUUGU
rnacentral:misc_RNA from 1 species